rnacentral:rRNA from 1 species
AAAUGAAUUGACGGGGGCCCGCACAAGCGGAGGAACAUGUGGUUUAAUUCGAUGAUACGCGAGGAACCUUACCCGGGCUUAAAUGUAGAUUGCAUAAUUUAGAGAUAGAUUUUUCCUUCACAGGACCAUCUACAAGGUGCUGCAUGGUUGUCGUCAGCUCGUGCCGUGAGGUGUCGGGUUAAGUCCCAUAACGAGCGCAACCCCUGCUACCAGUUACCAGCAUGUAAUGAUGGGGACUCUGGUAGGACUGCCAUCGUAAGAUGAGAGGAAGGUGGGGAUGACGUCAAAUCAGCACGGCCCUUACGUCCGGGGCGACACACGUGUUACAAUGGCCGGUACAGAGGGCAGCUACACAGCGAUGUGAUGCAAAUCUCAAAAACCGGUCGUAGUUCGGAUUGGAGUCUGCAACUCGACUCCAUGAAGCUGGAUUCGCUAGUAAUCGCAUAUCAGCCAUGAUGCGGUGAAUACGUUCCCGGGCCUUGUACACACCGCCCGU